AUCUACGGCCAUGCUACCCUGAACAAACCUGAUCCUGUCUGAUCUCGGAAGCUAAGCAGGAUCGGGCCUGGUUAGUACUUGGAUGAGAGACCACCUAGGAAGACCAGGUGCUGUAGGCA
rnacentral:rRNA from 1 species